UACGUAGGGCGCAAGCGUUGUCCGGAAUUAUUGGGCGUAAAGCGCUCGUAGGUGGUGUGUCGCGUCUGCCGUGAAAUCCCGGGGCUCAACCCCGGGCCUGCAGUGGAUACGGGCUGGCUAGAGGCAGGCAGGGGAGAACGGAAUUCCUGGUGUAGCGGUGAAAUGCGCAGAUAUCAGGAGGAACACCGGUGGCGAAGGCGGUUCUCUGGGCCUGUACUGACGCUGAGGAGCGAAAGCGUGGGGAGCGAACAGG
rnacentral:rRNA from 1 species